rnacentral:misc_RNA from 1 species
GAUGAAGAACGCAGCGAAAUGCGAUACUUGGUGUGAAUUGCAGAAUCCCGUGAACCAUCGAGUCUUUGAACGCAAGUUGCGCCUCAAGCCAUUAGGUUGAGGGCACGUCUGCCUGGGCGUCACAUAUCGUUGCCUGAUGCCAGUUUCCUCGUGAUGGGUGACUGUGCAGGGCGAAUGAUGGCUUCCCGUGAGCAUUGUUGCCUCAUGGUUGGUUGAAAAUUGAGUCCUUGGUAGGGAGCGCCGUGAUAGAUGGUGGUUGAGUGACGAACGAGACCCAAUCAUGUGAGACCCCUACCGAAUUUGGCCUUCAUGAUCCACAUGCGUCUUUGGAACGCUCAUGACGAGACCUCAGGUCAGGCGGGGCUACCCGCUGAGUUUAAGCAUAUCAAUAAGCGGAGGA